GACGAACGCUGGCGGCGUGCUUAACACAUGCAAGUCGAACGGAAAGGCCCUGCUUUUGUGGGGUGCUCGAGUGGCGAACGGGUGAGUAACACGUGAGUAACCUGCCCUUGACUUUGGGAUAACUUCAGGAAACUGGGGCUAAUACCGGAUAGGAGCUCCUGCUGCAUGGUGGGGGUUGGAAAGUUUCGGCGGUUGGGGAUGGACUCGCGGCUUAUCAGCUUGUUGGUGGGGUAGUGGCUUACCAAGGCUUUGACGGGUAGCCGGCCUGAGAGGGUGACCGGCCACAUUGGGACUGAGAUACGGCCCAGACUCCUACGGGAGGCAGCAGUGGGGAAUAUUGCACAAUGGGCGGAAGCCUGAUGCAGCAACGCCGCGUGCGGGAUGACGGCCUUCGGGUUGUAAACCGCUUUCGCCUGUGACGAAGCGUGAGUGACGGUAAUGGGUAAAGAAGCACCGGCUAACUACGUGCCAGCAGCCGCGGUGAUACGUAGGGUGCGAGCGUUGUCCGGAUUUAUUGGGCGUAAAGGGCUCGUAGGUGGUUGAUCGCGUCGGAAGUGUAAUCUUGGGGCUUAACCCUGAGCGUGCUUUCGAUACGGGUUGACUUGAGGAAGGUAGGGGAGAAUGGAAUUCCUGGUGGAGCGGUGGAAUGCGCAGAUAUCAGGAGGAACACCAGUGGCGAAGGCGGUUCUCUGGGCCUUUCCUGACGCUGAGGAGCGAAAGCGUGGGGAGCGAACAGGCUUAGAUACCCUGGUAGUCCACGCUGUAAACGGUGGGUACUAGGUGUGGGGUCCAUUCCACGGGUUCCGUGCCGUAGCUAACGCUUUAAGUACCCCGCCUGGGGAGUACGGCCGCAAGGCUAAAACUCAAAGGAAUUGACGGGGCCCCGCACAAGCGGCGGAGCAUGCGGAUUAAUUCGAUGCAACGCGUAGAACCUUACCUGGGUUUGACAUGGAUCGGGAGCGCUCAGAGAUGGGUGUGCCUCUUUUGGGGUCGGUUCACAGGUGGUGCAUGGCUGUCGUCAGCUCGUGUCGUGAGAUGUUGGGUUAAGUCCCGCAACGAGCGCAACCCUUGUUCACUGUCGCCAGCACGUUAUGGUGGGGACUCAGUGGAGACCGCCGGGGUCAACUCGGAGGAAGGUGGGGAUGACGUCAAGUCAUCAUGCCCCUUAUGUCCAGGGCUUCACGCAUGCUACAAUGGCUGGUACAGAGAGUGGCGAGCCUGUGAGGGUGAGCGAAUCUCGGAAAGCCGGUCUCAGUUCGGAUUGGGGUCUGCAACUCGACCUCAUGAAGUCGGAGUCGCUAGUAAUCGCAGAUCAGCAACGCUGCGGUGAAUACGUUCCCGGGGCU
rnacentral:rRNA from 1 species